UACGUAGGAGGCAAGCGUUGUCCGGAGUACUGGGCGUAAAGCGCACGCAGGCGGUCUUGUCAGUCUGUAGGGACAGGGCACAGCUCAACUGUGUCAGGCUUACGGAAACUGCAAGACUUGAGGGCUUCAGAGGGAUGGGGAAUUCCGGGUGGAGUGGUGAAAUGCGUAGAGAUCCGGAAGAACACCAAAGGCGAAGGCACCAUCCUGGGGAGUCACUGACGCUCGGGUGCGAAAGCUAGGGGAGCGAACGGG
rnacentral:rRNA from 1 species